rnacentral:rRNA from 1 species
UACAGAGGUCCCGAGCGUUGUUCGGAUUCACUGGGCGUAAAGGGUGCGUAGGUGGUGAGGUAAGUCGGAUGUGAAAUCUCCAGGCUCAACCUGGAAACUGCAUUGGAAACUACCUUGCUGGAGGAUUUGAGGGGGGGAUUGGAAUACUUGGUGUAGCAGUGAAAUGCGUAGAUAUCAAGUGGAACACCAGUGGCGAAGGCGAAUCCCUGGAAAAUACCUGACACUGAGGCACGAAAGCUAGGGGAGCAAACAGG